GCAGAAGGGAAUUCAUCAGACACUUUUAACUGGAGAAAAAUAAGUGGACAGCCUUCCGUGGGAAGGAAGAAAUAACGCUGGGAUUUUCUAUUUUCGUUUUUAGCCACCCCCUGACUUAUUAGGCGGCGCAUAGUGUAUUAGAGGAGGGUGGUCAGCGGGUUCACAAUGUAGAAGGGGGAGCAGCAGUUUGCAGUUUGUGGGAGGAGAGGGGCGAGUGGGGUUGGGUAGGAAAGCCAGGGUUUGGGCUCUCAGUUCUCCCUCUCCCCUGCAGGUGAGAAGAGACUCUCACCAGGCAGAGACAGGUGUGAGAUUACUGACGCCACACUGACGCAAGUACAAAGAGUCCCGGGUAAGAAAAGUAGAGUUAGCCUGGUGUGGAGGCACAUACCUGUAAUCCCCAAACUCAGGAGGCUGAGGCAGGAGGAUCCGUGGGAGUUCAAGGCAAGCCUGGGCUACACAGUGAGUUCAAGACCAAAAAAGAAAAGAAAAGUAUCCCUGUCCCUCGGAGGACUGUGGCUCCCAGGCUAGGCCAGGCUUUAUCAUCACAGAGGAGACGGGAAUCCUCUGGGAGACGGCGACUAUGGAUCCAGCGUUGAGGGGAUAAGGAGAGGAAAAGCUGCUGGAGGCGAAGCUUCCUGCCUUUGCGUCCGGCCAUACAGAGCUGCGCACAGUUCCCCAGCCUGUACCCGGCCUCCCUGCUCCCAGGCGUUGCACAGCUGAGCCCCUGCUCUGAUCACUCCCUAAUGCCUACCCAUCCUUCAAGUCUUCGAUGCUGCCUCCUCCGGGGAGUCCUCGUACCCCUCAGCAUUUGCUGUUUUCCUCUUGAAGGACAGCAUCGGGGUACAGGGCCACUGUCCACCUGGUGUAAUCCUUAGGUCCCGUCUAUUUUCCCCACUCGUCCCUGCCCUCCUUGAGGAUGAAGGCUCUGGCUUCAUCCUGAACCCCAGUGCCCAGGACAGUGUGUGGCAUACUGUCAGGGAUGUUGGCUGCUGAAAGCAACAUUAGUCACUGCACACGCUGCGAUCUGAAAUCCCUGUAUACACGCUCCCACAGGGACACCACAGGACCCUCAGAUUAACUACACAUGUAUUUAAUCUUCUCGGGAUUCAGUCUCAGUCAUUCCCAGGGCCUCCAACAGCCUCCAGCAAAGAUAAAUGUCCAACCAAUGUUGAAUGAAUGAAAGAAGAACCAACAUAAGAUAAAUGUCCGAGAGCACCCCUGGAGAAGGCUCACUGUGGCGGUGGCAGAUGUGGAGAGUUAGACGGCAGACAGGAGAUAGAGCCAUGGGAGCAAAUUGAGAGCAGGAAGAGAAACUUACUGAACACCUCCUAUGUAUUGGUACUGCCCCAGGUAUCUUGGGUUCAUUAUUCCACUUUCUCCUCAUCUUUAUCCUGUGAGGAAGACGUAAUUAUCCCAUUUCAUAUUCAAGGAAGCUGAGGUUAAGAGUGGUUAAGUAACUGUCCCAAGAUCACCCAGGUGACAUGGGUUAAACUGGAAUUCAAACCCGGGUCUUUCUGACCCUAGAGCCUGUCUCCCACUCUACCAUGUUUCAUGAAGAAUGGGAGUUUUGAGCAGAAUUUUGAAAAACAAAAGACUCAUCUUUGGGAAGAAGGAUCUCAAGCCCAGGCAGGUAGGGAGAACUGAGGGUUUCUGAGAAGGUUGGAUGCUGGCUCUGUGGUUCCAUGAAUUUCCAUAAGCUUCUUUGUGAUCAAGAAGCCAGGGGAAAAUGAACAGAACAACGUCCCAUGCAAGG
rnacentral:lncRNA from 1 species